UUCGUUGCACUAUCGUUAACUGAAUACAUAGGUUAACGAGGCGAACCGGGGGAACUGAAACAUCUAAGUACCCCGAGGAAAAGAAAUCAACCGAGAUUCCCCCAGUAGCGGCGAGCGAACGGGGAGCAGCCCAGAGUCUGAAUCAGCUUGUGUGUUAGUGGAACGGUCUGGAAAGUCCGACGGUACAGGGUGAUAGUCCCGUACACCAAAAUGCACAGGUUGUGAACUCGAAGAGUAGGGCGGGACACGUGGUAUCCUGUCUGAAUAUGGGGGGACCAUCCUCCAAGGCUAAAUACUCCUGACUGACCGAUAGUGAACCAGUACCGUGAGGGAAAGGCGAAAAGAACCCCGGCGAGGGGAGUGAAAAAGAACCUGAAACCGUGUACGUACAAGCAGUGGGAGCACCUUCGGGUGUGACUGCGUACCUUUUGUAUAAUGGGUCAGCGACUUAUAUUCUGUAGCAAGGUUAACCGUAUAGGGGAGCCGCAGGGAAACCGAGUCUUAACUGGGCGUUAAGUUGCAGGGUAUAGACCCGAAACCCGGUGAUCUAGCCAUGGGCAGGUUGAAGGUUGGGUAACACUAACUGGAGGACCGAACCGACUAAUGUUGAAAAAUUAGCGGAUGACUUGUGGCUGGGGGUGAAAGGCCAAUCAAACCGGGAGAUAGCUGGUUCUCCCCGAAAGCUAUUUAGGUAGCGCCUCGUGAACUCAUCUUCGGGGGUAGAGCACUGUUUCGGCUAGGGGGUCAUCCCGACUUACCAACCCGAUGCAAACUACGAAUACCGAAGAAUGUUAUCACGGGAGACACACGGCGGGUGCUAACGUCCGUCGUGAAGAGGGAAACAACCCAGACCGCCAGCUAAGGUCCCAAAGUCAUGGUUAAGUGGGAAACGAUGUGGGAAGGCACAGACAGCCAGGAUGUUGGCUUAGAAGCAGCCAUCAUUUAAAGAAAGCGUAAUAGCUCACUGGUCGAGUCGGCCUGCGCGGAAGAUGUAACGGGGCUAAACCAUGCACCGAAGCUGCGGCAGCGACACUAUGUGUUGUUGGGUAGGGGAGCGUUCUGUAAGCCUGCGAAGGUGUGCUGUGAGGCAUGCUGGAGGUAUCAGAAGUGCGAAUGCUGACAUAAGUAACGAUAAAGCGGGUGAAAAGCCCGCUCGCCGGAAGACCAAGGGUUCCUGUCCAACGUUAAUCGGGGCAGGGUGAGUCGACCCCUAAGGCGAGGCCGAAAGGCGUAGUCGAUGGGAAACAGGUUAAUAUUCCUGUACUUGGUGUUACUGCGAAGGGGGGACGGAGAAGGCUAUGUUAGCCGGGCGACGGUUGUCCCGGUUUAAGCAUGUAGGCUGAUUGUCCAGGCAAAUCCGGAUAAUCAAGGCUGAGGUGUGAUGACGAGGCACUACGGUGCUGAAGUAACAAAUGCCCUGCUUCCAGGAAAAGCCUCUAAGCAUCAGGUAACAUUAAAUCGUACCCCAAACCGACACAGGUGGUCAGGUAGAGAAUACCAAGGCGCUUGAGAGAACUCGGGUGAAGGAACUAGGCAAAAUGGUGCCGUAACUUCGGGAGAAGGCACGCUGGUGUGUAGGUGAAGUCCCUGCGGAUGGAGCUGAGACCAGUCGAAGAUACCAGCUGGCUGCAACUGUUUAUUAAAAACACAGCACUGUGCAAACACGAAAGUGGACGUAUACGGUGUGACGCCUGCCCGGUGCCGGAAGGUUAAUUGAUGGGGUUAUCCGUAAGGAGAAGCUCUUGAUCGAAGCCCCGGUAAACGGCGGCCGUAACUAUAACGGUCCUAAGGUAGCGAAAUUCCUUGUCGGGUAAGUUCCGACCUGCACGAAUGGCGUAAUGAUGGCCAGGCUGUCUCCACCCGAGACUCAGUGAAAUUGAACUCGCUGUGAAGAUGCAGUGUACCCGCGGCAAGACGGAAAGACCCCGUGAACCUUUACUAUAGCUUGACACUGAACAUUGAGCCUUGAUGUGUAGGAUAGGUGGGAGGCUUUGAAGCGUGGACGCCAGUCUGCGUGGAGCCAACCUUGAAAUACCACCCUUUAAUGUUUGAUGUUCUAACGUUGGCCCCUUACCGGGGUUGCGGACAGUGUCUGGUGGGUAGUUUGACUGGGGCGGUCUCCUCCCAAAGCGUAACGGAGGAGCACGAAGGUUAGCUAAUCCUGGUCGGACAUCAGGAGGUUAGUGCAAUGGCAUAAGCUAGCUUGACUGCGAGCGUGACGGCGCGAGCAGGUGCGAAAGCAGGUCAUAGUGAUCCGGUGGUUCUGAAUGGAAGGGCCAUCGCUCAACGGAUAAAAGGUACUCCGGGGAUAACAGGCUGAUACCGCCCAAGAGUUCAUAUCGACGGCGGUGUUUGGCACCUCGAUGUCGGCUCAUCACAUCCUGGGGCUGAAGUAGGUCCCAAGGGUAUGGCUGUUCGCCAUUUAAAGUGGUACGCGAGCUGGGUUUAGAACGUCGUGAGACAGUUCGGUCCCUAUCUGCCGUGGGCGCUGGAGAAUUGAGGGGGGCUGCUCCUAGUACGAGAGGACCGGAGUGGACGCAUCACUGGUGUUCGGGUUGUCAUGCCAAUGGCACUGCCCGGUAGCUAAAUGCGGAAGAGAUAAGUGCUGAAAGCAUCUAAGCACGAAACUUGCCCCGAGAUGAGUUCUCCCUGAGACUUUAAGUCUCCUGAAGGAACGUUGAAGACGACGACGUUGAUAGGCCGGGUGUGUAAGCGCAGCGAUGCGUUGAGCUAACCGGUACUAAUGAACCGUGAGGCUUAACCUU
rnacentral:rRNA from 1 species